GGGCGCUUGAAGCUUUCUGCUUCAGGCCCUGGGUGGGAAGCAGAAAGAAGAAAGCCCCAAACUGACUCUUAAUCAGAAUGAGGCUUCACCAUACUGCAUCAACACCAGCAUGGUAGCCUCUUAACCGCAGAAAUGCAACGGAGGGCUGACAUG
rnacentral:antisense_RNA from 1 species